AAAAUCCGUCGACUUUAAAAAUCGUGA
rnacentral:tRNA from 1 species